rnacentral:misc_RNA from 1 species
GAUGAAGAACGUAGCGAAAUGCGAUACGUAAUGUGAAUUGCAGAUUUCAGUGAAUCAUCGAAUCUUUGAACGCACAUUGCGCCCGCUAGUAUUCUGGCGGGCAUGCCUGUUCGAGCGUCAUUUCAACCAUCAAGCCCUAGGCUUGCGUUGGAGCACUGCGGCUGCCGCAGACUCCCAAAUCCAGUGGCGGGCUCGUCGUCGUACCGAGUGCAGUAAACAUCCUCGCUCAGGGAACGUGACGGGUUCUUGCCGUGAAACCCCCCACAUAUCAAGGUUGACCUCGGAUCAGGUAGGAAUACCCGCUGAACUUAAGCAUAUCAAUAAGCGGAGGA